ACUUGUACAGCUCCGCAUUACUGCCUAUGACAAGCGAUAAAAUUUAGCCGCCAAUUAUUUCAAAACAACAAUUAUUUGGCGGUGCAGUACAAAAAGAAUUGGCGGUAUAAAUUGGUGAUGUUAGAAAGUUUAGAAUUUUAGGUUUACUUUAAAAUUACAGUAAGUUUGGUGUUUAGUUUAAUCGGUGAUAUUAUUCGGAUAAGGAUUUUUAAAAGAUUAAACGGCAAUUAAAUACGGAAAUGGACGGACGAAAGUUAUCUGGCUCGUAUUGGCGCAAAAGAAAACUGGAAAAACAGCAAAAGGAAAAGAAAGCUUUAGAAAAUACUCUUAAACUCACAAGUUUUUUUAAACGGGGUAACACAGACGUAGACGAGAGCAGAAGUAUAUGCGAACCUCAACCUGGACCAAGCACUAGCCUUGCAAAUGAGAUGAAUACCCAAGAGACCGGUCUUGAGAUGGAGCCACAGGAAAGUCUUUUGCAAAAUAAUACAGUUGGUGAUAGUAUUAUAGAUGCAAAAACAGACGAUUGGACCGAAUAAGGAUCCGGCACUUUGGAAGGAUGGUCAAAAUUUUGUGCAAAUUCUUUUGGAUAACUGGACCGAAUAAAUUCUUGAUAAAAUUGACUUUUCAAUGUCUAAAAGAAAACAUGGGGACCAAAAUAGGUAUGCUACCAAUCAAAUUUUUUAUAAGAAGCUAGUUAACGGUGAAGUAGUUCGAAGUUCGAAUUUAUUCAGAAAGUACUGGAAAUGUGUUUUGUUUAUAUUGUUGUUUAUUUAGUAACAAACAAAACCAAUUUAAAACCAGAUUUUCCUCGUGGAAUAAAUGCAUUGAGAGAUUCGACGAACACGAGCGUUCCAUUGGUCAUCUAGAUAGUUUAAAUGUUUACACAAGCCGCCAAUUAAAGCGAGGAAAAAUUAACGAUGAGUUGGAAAAACAAAUAAGUUGCAAAAAGAAUUAUUGGGUCGAAGUAUUAAGAAGAAUUAUAAGCGUGAUUAAGUUUUUGGCCUCUAGAGAAUUGGCAUUUAGAGGAACUGAUGAACGUUUUGGUGAAAAGCGCAAUGGGAAUUAUUUGGGUUUAUUGGAACUAUUAGCAGAAUAUGAUCCGUUUUUAAAAGACCAUAUAAAUCGAAUGGCAAAUUUGGGCAAGGGUAAAACGUCAUACCUAUCCAAGGAUAUCUGUAAUGAAGUCCUCACUAUCAUGGCGAAUCGGGUUAUUGAGGAAAUUGCUAAACAAAUUAAGGCGAAUAAAUAUAUUUCAGUCAGUGUGGACUCAACACCCGAUAUAUCACAUCAGGAUCAGCUAACAAUAAUUUUAAGGUAUUGCAAUAGUAAAGGGCUUCCAUUUGAAAGGUUUAUAGGAUUCUAUGAUAACAUUGGGCAUGGGGCACAAGAGCUUGAGCAGUGCGUCAUGGAUAUGCUAAAGACAUUUAAUUUGGACAUUCAAAAUUGCAGGGCUCAGUCAUAUGACAACGCAAGCAAUAUGAGUGGUCGAUUUUCUGGAUUGCAAGCGCGUAUUAAGGCACAUAAUGAGUUAGCAAUCUACGUUCCGUGUGCCGGACAUUCUCUCAAUUUAGUUGUUCAAAAUGCUGCGGAUUGCUGCUUCGAAGCAACAUCUUUUUUUAUGCUAGUUCAAGCUUUUUAUAAUUUUUUUUCGGCUUCUACACAUAGAUGGAACUUGUUGUCUAGUACAAUAAGAGAUUCAUCAGGCUCUGAGAAAUCGCUCAUGCCAAAAAGGGUCAAUACAACUCGUUAGUCUUCUCGCUUUGAUGCCAUAAAGGCGCUACAAAGUAGUUACAAUUCAAUAAAGACUUUUUUAAAUAAUAUAGCAACAGAUGUUAAUGAGAAAAAUAUUGUAAGAGUCGAAGCAAGUUCGUUAUGCGAAAAACUUAAUUUCUUGGAAAAUGGGAUAAUCUUAUCGUUUUGGUUGGAUAUUUUGCAAAGGGUUAACGAUGUUAAUAAAACUCUACAAAGAGAGAAUUUGGACUGUAGAUGAUCACUGUAGCAACUAAACUAAAGGAAAAAUACAGCUCCGAUUUAGAUGAAUAUUUUCCUCAAGAAUGUGUUCAUCUAAAAAAACUAUUAAAUUCUAUAUCAGAAAUUAAAUUAGAAACUCCAUUAGAUUUAGUUCAUGCAUUAUAUGAGAAUAAACUAAUAUCUACAUUUCCCAAUAUCAAUAUUUGUUUACGCAUUUUUUUCUAUAAUGGUCACAAAUGCAAGCGGUGAACGAUCGUUUUCUACUCUAAAGAGAGUUAAAACCUAUUUACGAAACUCAAGAAAACGCAAGAAAAUUUAAACUCUUUGGCAAUUAUUUCAAUUAAUAAAGAUAUUCUUGAUGAAAUAGAUACAUCUUCUAUAAUCGAAAAAUUUGCGUCACUAAAAGCAAGAAAACAAUCGUUUAAGUUUAAAUUUAUAUGCAUUAUUAUAUAAGUAUAUUUAUGUGUAAUUUAUUUUUUACGUUCCUUUAAAACCAAAGAAUCUGUUUUACUUUUUGUAGAAAGCUUGAGAGCUGAGUUUGUUUUUUUUGGGAGUUUUAGUUGUA